CCAAGAAGGGCCUCUGAUAGGCUGUAGAAACAACCGGUCCAAGAGAGAGAAGUGAGUUACAGUCGACGAAAUGGAGAUCUAGAGAACAUUUUGCCAUCGGACAUGGAAGUAUAAAAUUUGAUGUCUUUUCUUGCAAUUUUGGUGUGAAAAUCUGUCAAUGGACAAUAUCUAGUCAGAAACUGCUGCAGAGACCCCAAUAUCCAUCUAGCACCACUCUGAUCUAGGCAAAGCCAUAGCUGUCAAGGCAAAAUCUUCCACCCACAAAGAUCCUGUUGAGAGAUCA